GACGAACGCUGGCGGCGUGCUUAACACAUGCAAGUCGAACGAUGAAGCCGGAGCUUGCUCUGGUGAAUUAGUGGCGAACGGGUGAGUAACACGUGAGUAACCUGCCCUUGACUCUGGGAUAACUGCUAGAAAUGGUAGCUAAUACCGGAUACGACCCUCGGCGGCAUCGCCAGGGGGUGGAAAGAAUUUCGGUCAAGGAUGGGCUCGCGGCCUAUCAGCUAGUUGGUGAGGUAACGGCUCACCAAGGCGACGACGGGUAGCCGGCCUGGGAGGGUGACCGGCCACACUGGGACUGAGACACGGCCCAGACUCCUACGGGAGGCAGCAGUGGGGAAUAUUGCACAAUGGGCGCAAGCCUGAUGCAGCAACGCCGCGUGAGGGAUGACGGCCUUCGGGUUGUAAACCUCUUUUAGUAGGGAAGAAGCGAAAGUGACGGUACCUGCAGAAAAAGCACCGGCUAACUACGUGCCAGCCGCCGCGGUAA
rnacentral:rRNA from 1 species